rnacentral:piRNA from 1 species
UACAAUUUUCCCAACUUGAGGCUUAUAGUA